rnacentral:tRNA from 1 species
GCCCGGGUGGUGGAAUGGUAGACACUAGGGACUUAAAAUCCCUUGCUCGAAAGGGCGUGCGGGUUCGAGUCCCGCCCCGGGUACCA